AUUGAACGCUGGCGGAAUGCUUUACACAUGCAAGUCGAACGGCAGCACGGACUUCGGUCUGGUGGCGAGUGGCGAACGGGUGAGUAAUGUAUCGGAACGUGCCCAGUCGUGGGGGAUAACGUCGUGAAAAUUACGCUAAUACCGCAUACGAUCUAUGGAUGAAAGCGGGGGAUCGCAAGACCUCGCGCGAUUGGAGUGGCCGAUAUCAGAUUAGGUAGUUGGUGGGGUAAAGGCCCACCAAGCCAAUGAUCUGUAGCUGGUCUGAGAGGACGACCAGCCACACUGGAACUGAGACACGGUCCAGACUCCUACGGGAGGCAGCAGUGGGGAAUUUUGGACAAUGGGCGAAAGCCUGAUCCAGCCAUUCCGCGUGCAGGAUGAAGGCCCUCGGGUUGUAAACUGCUUUUGUACAGAACGAAAAGGUUUCUACUAAUACUAGGAGCUCAUGACGGUACUGUAAGAAUAAGCACCGGCUAACUACGUGCCAGCCGCCGCAGUAA
rnacentral:rRNA from 1 species